rnacentral:rRNA from 1 species
UAGGCUGAAACUCGCCUACAUGAAGCUGGAGUUACUAGUAAUCGCAGAUCAGAAUGCUGCGGUGAAUGCGUUCCCGGGUCUUGUACACACCGCCCGUCACACCAUGGGAGCCGGGAAUGCCCGAAGUCGGUGACCCAACCGUAAGGAGGGAGCCGCCGAAGGCAGGCCUGGUAACUGGGGUGAAGUCGUAACAAGGUAUC